rnacentral:rRNA from 1 species
CGUGGAUCCGUAAUCCGGGUUGCGGACAGUGUCUGGUGGGUAGUUUGACUGGGGCGGUCUCCUCCUAAAGAGUAACGGAGGAGCACGAAGGUUGGCUAAUCCUGGUCGGACAUCAGGAGGUUAGUGCAAUGGCAUAAGCCAGCUUGACUGCGAGCGUGACGGCGCGAGCAGGUGCGAAAGCAGGUCAUAGUGAUCCGGUGGUUCUGAAUGGAAGGGCCAUCGCUCAACGGAUAAAAGGUACUCCGGGGAUAACAGGCUGAUACCGCCCAAGAGUUCAUAUCGACGGCGGUGUUUGGCACCUCGAUGUCGGCUCAUCACAUCCUGGGGCUGAAGUAGGUCCCAAGGGUAUGGCUGUUCGCCAUUUAAAGUGGUACGCGAGCUGGGUUUAGAACGUCGUGAGACAGUUCGGUCCCUAUCUGCCGUGGGCGCUGGAGAACUGAGGGGGGCUGCUCCUAGUACGAGAGGACCGGAGUGGACGCAUCACUGGUGUUCGGGUUGUCAUGCCAAUGGCACUGCCCGGUAGCUAAAUGCGGAAGAGAUAAGUGCUGAAAGCAUCUAAGCACGAAACUUGCCCCGAGAUGAGUUCUCCCUGAGACUUAAAGUCUCCUGAAGGAACGUUGAAGACGACGACGUUGAUAGGCCGGGUGUGUAAGCGCAGCGAUGCGUUGAGCUAACCGGUACUAAUGAACCGUGAGGCUUAACCUUACAACGCCGAAG